rnacentral:SRP_RNA from 1 species
CCUUUAGACCUGUGCAAUAGUUUUAUCAGGAAUCGUGUCAGGACGGGAACGUAGCAGCACACCGGGUAAGAUUAUGUGCCGCAGGUAUCUGGAGGGGA